UGGGGUCCCUUGAGUCAGUGGGCUGA
rnacentral:piRNA from 1 species